rnacentral:rRNA from 1 species
UUGAACGCUGGCGGCAUGCUUUACACAUGCAAGUCGAACGGCAGCGGGGGCUUCGGCCUGCCGGCGAGUGGCGAACGGGUGAGUAAUGCAUCGGAACGUACCCAGUUGUGGGGGAUAGCCCGGCGAAAGCCGGAUUAAUACCGCAUAAGUCCUGAGGGAGAAAGCGGGGGACCGUAAGGCCUCGCGCGAUUGGAGCGGCCGAUGUUCGAUUAGCUAGUUGGUGGGGUAAAGGCCUACCAAGGCGACGAUCGAUAGCUGGUCUGAGAGGACGACCAGCCACACUGGAACUGAGACACGGUCCAGACUCCUACGGGAGGCAGCAGUGGGGAAUUUUGGACAAUGGGGGCAACCCUGAUCCAGCCAUUCCGCGUGAGUGAAGAAGGCCUUCGGGUUGUAAAACUCUUUCGGCAGGAACGAAACGGUGAGCUCUAACAUAGCUUGCUAAUGACGGUACCUGAAGAAGAAGCACCGGCUAACUACGU